UACGGAGGGAGCUAGCGUUGUUCGGAAUUACUGGGCGUAAAGCGCGCGUAGGCGGCUUUGUAAGUUAGAGGUGAAAGCCCGGAGCUCAACUCCGGAACUGCCUUUAAAACUGCAUCGCUUGAAUCCAGGAGAGGUGAGUGGAAUUCCGAGUGUAGAGGUGAAAUUCGUAGAUAUUCGGAAGAACACCAGUGGCGAAGGCGACACACUGGCCCAUUACUGACGCUGAGGCUCGAAAGCGUGGGGAGCAAACAGG
rnacentral:rRNA from 1 species